CAGGCCUAACUCGACGCAAGUCGAACGAACUCUUCGGAGUUAGUGGCGGACGGGUGAGUAACACGUGGGAACGUGCCUUUAGGUUCGGAAUAACUCAGGGAAACUUGUGCUAAUACCGAAUGUGCCCUUCGGGGGAAAGAUUUAUCGCCUUUAGAGCGGCCCGCGUCUGAUUAGCUUGUUGGUGGGGUAAUGGCCCACCAAGGCUACGAUCAGUAGCUGGUCUGAGAGGAUGACCAGCCACAUUGGGACUGAGACACGGCCCAAACUCCUACGGGAGGCAGCAGUGGGAAUCUUGCGCAAUGGGCGAAAGCCUGACGCAGCCAUGCCGCGUGWAUGAUGAAGGUCUUAGGAUUGUAAAAUACUUUCACCGGUGAAGAUAAUGACUGUAGCCGGAGAAGAAGCCCCGGCUAACUUUCGUUGUCCUAGUCUAGUCCGUCGGUUAAUU
rnacentral:rRNA from 1 species